rnacentral:miRNA from 1 species
GUGUGUGUGUGUGUGUGUGUGUGUGUGUGUGUGCCCAAGCACACGCUCAUGC